GCCAUGCCGCGUGAGUGAUGAAGGCCUUAGGGUUGUAAAGCUCUUUCGACGGGGACGAUAAUGACGGUACCCGUAUAAGAAGCCCCGGCUAACUUCGUGCCAGCAGCCGCGGUAAUACGACGGGGGCUAGCGUUGCUCGGAAUCACUGGGCGUAAAGGGUGCGUAAGCGGAUUUCUAAGUCAGGGGUGAAAGCCUGAGGCUCAACCUCAAAAUUGCCUUUGAUACUGGAAGUCUUGAGACCGGAGGAGGUAAGUGGAACUGCGAGUGGAGAAGUGAAAUUCGUAUAUGUUCGCAAGAACGCCAGUGGCGAAGGCGGCUUACUGGUCCGGUUCUGACGCUAAGGCCCGAAGGCGUGGGGAGCAAACAGGAUUAAAUACCUUGGUAGUCCACGCCAUAAACUAUGAAUGCUAGCCGUUGGCGGGCUUGCCCGUCAGUGGCGCAGCUUACGCUUUAAGCAUUCCGCCUGGGGAGUACGGUCGCAAGAUUAAAACUCAAAGGAAUUGACGGGGGCCCGCACAAGCGGUGGAGCAUGUGGUUUAAUUCAGAAGCAGCGUGAUGAACCUUACUUUCCCUUGACAUCCCAUGCGAACCAGAGAGAUCUGGCGUUCCCUU
rnacentral:rRNA from 1 species